AAUUUAUGGUGUAGCGGUGAAAUGCAUAGAUACCAUAAAGAACACCGAUUGCGUAGGCAGCUCACUGGACUGUAACUGACGCUGAUGCUCGAAAGUGUGGGUAUCAAACAGGAUUAGAUACCCUGGUAGUCCACACAGUAAACGAUGUACACUCGAUGUUAGCGAUAUACUGUUAGCGUCCAAGCGAAAGCGAUAAGUGUAACCACCUGGGGAGUACGCCCGCAAGGGUGAAACUCAAAGGAAUUGACGGGGGUCCGCACCAAGCGGUGGAGCAUGUGGUUUAAUUCGAUAAUACGCGAGGAACCCUACCUGGGCUAGAAUGUGAAGGAAUGUAU
rnacentral:rRNA from 1 species